UGGGGAAUAUUGCACAAUGGGGGAAACCCUGAUGCAGCGACGCCGCGUGAGUGAAGAAGUAUUUCGGUAUGUAAAGCUCUAUCAGCAGGAAAGAAAAUGACGGUACCUGACUAAGAAGCCCCGGCUAACUACGUGCCAGCAGCCGCGGUAAUACGUAGGGGGCAAGCGUUAUCCGGAUUUACUGGGUGUAAAGGGAGCGUAGACGGUUAUGCAAGUCUGAAGUGAAAUGCGGGGGCUCAACCCCUGAACUGCUUUGGAAACUGUAAAACUGGAGUGCAGGAGAGGUAAGUGGAAUUCCUAGUGUAGCGGUGAAAUGCGUAGAUAUUAGGAGGAACACCAGUGGCGAAGGCGGCUUACUGGACUGUAACUGACGUUGAGGCUCGAAAGCGUGGGGAGCAAACAGGA
rnacentral:rRNA from 1 species